rnacentral:rRNA from 1 species
UACAGAGGGGGCAAGCGUUAUUCGGAAUUAUUGGGCGUAAAGGGCGCGUAGGCGGCUUUGCAAGUGACGGGUGAAAGCCCCCGGCUCAACUGGGGAGGGUCACUCGAUACUGAUCGACUCGAAGGCAGAAGAGGGAAGCGGAAUUCCCGGUGUAGUGGUGAAAUGCGUAGAUAUCGGGAGGAACACCAGUGGCGAAGGCGGCUUUCUGGUCUGCUCUUGACGCUGAGGCGCGAAAGCUAGGGUAGCAAACGGG